rnacentral:lncRNA from 1 species
AGCCUGGCUCUUCCUUUUACCAUUUCUCUCUCCUGGGUCCCUCUCUAACUGCUUUCCAUUUCUCCGCAGCCCUCACCAGGCACAACCUAUUCAUACUGUGCAUUUCCCUCUUGAAGUGAGCGACCCAAGAAUAGGCCCUUGCCUGAUGUCUUUGUGGAGGCCAUCUCACUUCUGGAACAAAGCUUGGCACCUACUAUUUGCAGAACAAGGAUGCCCAGUGUACUCCUCUCCACUCUGAAGAGCCCUUACUAUGCAUGGUGCCACCAUUUUACCCUUGGAGGAACUAAAACAGAGAGGUAAUGAAGUGGCGGGGGGGGGGGGGUGCAGUUAUAACCUCAGAAUUUGAUUUCACCUUUUGGAUGCAAAGUCUGCAUUGAAC